rnacentral:lncRNA from 1 species
CUUUUGACCUUCACUUGGGUCUUGAGUAGUAGAAAGACAGAAUAAUCAAGUCAACCAGUGAGUCUCAAGUUCUUUGAUCAACCUUCAUUCUGGAGUUUCCGUAAGUUUUUAAAAUAAAACUCAGAGAUUUCUUUAUAUGACCCUGUCUAGUCUCUCAUAUGUGGUAUUUGUGGAUCCUUACCAAAGCGAUGACGGUGUUUUGCCUUCUCUCUUUCACUCAGAAUAUGUGGUAUUUUUAGAAUAAGGCAGAAUAGCAUCAUGUUUGCUCUCUAUUACCCUAUAACUAAUAGGCUUAUAUGGAGCUGAGGGUAAUUCAAGGAUGUAGCACACUUACCUUGCAUGUGUUGCUUAGUCAAAACUGGGAUCCUCGGAGGGGAGACCAUACCCUUAGAUCAAGAUGUGCAUGUAUGUGGCAAUAUUUGGUGGCUAACCUAAUUUUACUUUGCUCCUCAAGAGACUACCUCCAACUGAAGAAUUAAUGAAGAACUUUGUUGUGAAGGUCUUGGCCUCUUGGGAUAUCUUCUUCCUCAUUUCUUUGGUGACAAUGAUGAACUUCUAGGCAUAGAGAUCAUAGACUUCUCUUUUUUUCUUUUCUUUCUCUUUUUUACAAGGGAUCUGUUGCCCCUUACUUAGGAUACAAUGAACUUGGAGAAGAGAUAGAUCAUAAUCUUGGAGCAUUUAUUUGGAAACCUAAGAAUCUUUUUGGACCUUCUCCUAGUGUAGGAGAUAAAUUUUGGGGUGUAAAGGCAUGUUUAUGCCUAGUCCUAGGGUAGGAGCAGCAGAAUAUAUGAGUCCAAGUGAUCUUGAUCUUGAGAGCAUGACCAUCCUCUCAACAAGGGUCUCACACGGGUUGACCAAACUCAAUACAAUGCAAGCAGGUUAUGAGCUGGUUUUCCUAGUCUGGCAAGCAUGUAUAUAUGGCUAUGGUAGGAAUUAAAGCUAUCGUCAUACAAGAACUCAUCAUGUAGAAUUUUAAGUUUUUCAAAAGAUAAAUCUCCAGAACUCUAGUGCCACUAGGAACAAGAUAAACAACAACUCAGACCUUUUUAUAUUAUAUCCGUCAAUCACCUAGAAUCAAGCAUUCGCAACCCACAAUUUUCAGGUUCAGAGUAAAUUCUAGGUCACAACAAUCAUUUCCAAAACUCGAGUUCAAGGUUGAAAACUAGAUACUUGAAAGGAAUUGUAGGAGAGAAACUAUUCAUCAUUUCCAUGCAUA